rnacentral:rRNA from 1 species
GACGAACGCUGGCGGCGUGCUUAACACAUGCAAGUCGAACGGAAAGGCCCUGCUUUUGUGGGGUGCUCGAGUGGCGAACGGGUGAGUAACACGUGAGUAACCUGCCCUUGACUUUGGGAUAACUUCAGGAAACUGGGGCUAAUACCGGAUAGGAGCUCCUGCUGCAUGGUGGGGGUUGGAAAGUUUCGGCGGUUGGGGAUGGACUCGCGGCUUAUCAGCUUGUUGGUGGGGUAGUGGCUUACCAAGGCUUUGACGGGUAGCCGGCCUGAGAGGGUGACCGGCCACAUUGGGACUGAGAUACGGACCAGACUCCUACGGGAGGCAGCGGGGGGGAAUAUUGCACAAUGGGCGGAAGCCUGAUGCGGCAACGCCGCGUGCGGGAUGACGGCCGUCGGGUUGUAAACCGCUUUCGCCUGUGACGAAGCGUGAGUGACGGUAAUGGGUAAAGAAGCACCGGCUAACUACGUG